GACGAACGCUGGCGGCGUGCUUAACACAUGCAAGUCGAACGGAAAGGCCCUGCUUUUGUGGGGUGCUCGAGUGGCGAACGGGUGAGUAACACGUGAGUAACCUGCCCUUGACUUUGGGAUAACUUCAGGAAACUGGGGCUAAUACCGGAUAGGAGCUCCUGCUGCAUGGUGGGGGUUGGAAAGUUUCGGCGGUUGGGGAUGGACUCGCGGCUUAUCAGCUUGUUUGUGGGGUAGUGGCUUACCAAGGCUUUGACGGGUAGCCGGCCUGAGAGGGUGACCGGCCACAUUGGGACUGAGAUACGGACCAGAAUACUACGGGAGGCAGCAGUGGGGAAUAUUGCACAAUGGGCGGAAGCCUGAUGCAGCAACGCCGCGUGCGGGAUGACGGCCUUCGGGUUGUAAACCGCUUUCGCCUGUGACGAAGCGUGAGUGACGGUAAUGGGUAAAGAAGCACCGGCUAACUACGUG
rnacentral:rRNA from 1 species